CCUACGGGCGGCAGCAGUGAGGAAUAUUGGUCAAUGGACGAGAGUCUGAACCAGCCAAGUAGCGUGAAGGAUGACUGCCCUAUGGGUUGUAAACUUCUUUUAUAAAGGAAUAAAACGCGGCACGUGUGCCGUUUUGCAUGUACCUUAUGAAUAAGGACCGGCUAAUUCCGUGCCAGCAGCCGCGGUAAUACGGAGGAUCCGAGCGUUAUCCGGAUUUAUUGGGGUUAAAGGGAGCGUAGAUGGGUUGUUAAGUCAGUUGUGAAAGUUUGCGGCUCAACCGUAAAAUUGCAAUUGAUACUGGCAGUCUUGAGUACAGUUGAGGUAGGCGGAAUUCGUGGUGUAGCGGUGAAAUGCUUAGAUAUCACGAAGAACCCCGAUUGCGAAGGCAGCUUACUAAAGUGUGACUGACAUUGAUGCUCGAAAGUGUGGGUAUCAAACAGGAUUAGAUACCCUUGUAGUC
rnacentral:rRNA from 1 species